rnacentral:rRNA from 1 species
GACGAACCGUGCGAACGUUGUUCGGAUUCACUGGGCUUAAAGGGCGCGUAGGCGGGCAUUCAAGUCAGGGGUGAAAGCCCCCGGCCUAACCGGGGAAGUGCCUCUGAGACUGAGUCAGUCUCGAGGUGGGUGAGGGCAGUUGGAACUCUCGGUGGAGCGGUGAAAUGCGUAGAUAUCGGGAGGAACGCCGGUGGCGAAGGCGGCUCUCUGGGACGGUACUGACGCUGAGACGCGAAAGCGUGGGGAGCGAACAGG